GGUUUUUUGUUUAUAUAAAAAAUCUGGCCUGCUCAGUGAAUUUUUAAAUAGCUGCAGUAUUUUGACUGUACAAAGGUAGCAUAAUCACUUGUCUUUUAAUUGAGGUCUGGAAUGAAUGGUUUGAUGAAGGAAAUACUUUAUUUAUUUUUAAUAGAAAAUUUAAUUUUUAAGUUAAAAAGCUUCAAAAUAUUUUUAUAGGACGAGAAGACCCUAUAGAACUUUAUUUAUAUGCUUUUAUAUUUUUUCUAGAUUAUGAUAUUUUUGUAAAAGCAUAUAAAUUUUGUUGGGGUGAUAGAAAAAAUAUCAUAACUUUUUUUAAUUUUUACAUUAAUUAAUGUAUUUUUGAUCCUUUUUUUGGAAAAAAGAAAAAGUUACCUUAGGGAUAACAGCGUUAUUAUUUCGGAGAGUUCAUAUUGAUGGAAUAGUUUGCGACCUCGAUGUUGGAUUAAAAUAAGAUAUGGAAGUAGAAUGUCAUAUUCUGGGUCUGUUCGACCUUUAAAUUUUUACAU
rnacentral:rRNA from 1 species